UCCGGUGGCCAUACCGGAGGGGAAACACCCGUUCCCAUCCCGAACACGGAAGUUAAGCCCUCCAGGGCCGAUGGUACUAGGGGGUUGACCCCUGGGAGAGUAGGUCGCUGCCGGAA
rnacentral:rRNA from 1 species